rnacentral:rRNA from 1 species
UACAGAGGUCUCAAGCGUUGUUCGGAAUCACUGGGCGUAAAGGGUGCGUAGGCGGCACGGUAAGUCAGAGGUGAAAUCCCGGAGCUCAACCUCGGAAUUGCCUCCGAUACUGCCGCGCUUGAGGACUGGAGAGGAGAUUGGAAUUCACAGUGGAGCAGUGAAAUGCGUAGAUAUUGUGAGGAACACUAGUGGCGAAGGCGAAUCUCUGGACAGUUCCUGACGCUGAGGCACGAAGGCCAGGGGAGCAAACGGG